GUUAAACCCUGUAAUGCAAAUGUAAAUGUUCAAAUUCUUCCUAUUUAUUUCCUUGCAGAACCAAAAUUUCCAUUUGAUAAGCAGCCUUGGUAUCUUCUGUUUUAGGUUUUGUCACAUUCUCCUACCAAAGAUCAGUUAGCACAACUCUUGGAAGAGAAGAAUUCUGUUCAGAAGGAGCAGCAAGACAGGAUAAGAGAGCUGACAGAAAUGUUGGUGACCGCAUCCUCUUUUUUGCAAGAGCGGGAGCUAAAGGCUGAGGAUACUCAAUUGGAGAUGGAGAAAUUGUUAGCUUAUGUAAAAUUACAAGAAGAUGAGGUUAAUACACAGAAGAAUUUAGUUCUUGAGGAACAACAGAUGUUUCAGAAACUUGAAGAGGAAUUUAAAGAAGAAACAAAAAAACUAAAAGAAAAGGAGGCUCUGGAGAAAUUUCCAGAGCUGGAAAAAAGAUCUGAAUAUUUCAUAAAAAUCUCUCUUCAGAUCAAGAAUCAGUUUGAUAGCAAGAAAGCUGUAAUAGCCCAGUGGCUUCCUGACAUUUCUCCCCAGGAAGCCAAUAACAUCAAAAGGCUUCAAACAGAAGAUGAGCGUAUAAGUAACAGCCUCUACAACUCGUUGAACAAACUUCAGUACUUGUUUAGCUGCUUGUGCGACAAAAGAAAGGAAUACUACACAAACGUCAGCAAGUACACAAGGGAGCUGCUUGAUGAGCGAAAAAAUCAACAUGCACAGCGAAUGCAAAUUCAGGAACUCGGAAAGCCUCACUUGAAACAGCAGGGACCUGGAUCGCAGCAGCCUGGUCUCUCUGAACUGAUGCAGAGCUUGGAUGGUCUCACUGAGGUAAUGGUUUUCCAAAGAUUGCCUGCUUGGGACUGGAGUUGGGGAAAGCAA
rnacentral:lncRNA from 1 species